CUAGAGAUCAAUAAGCGGAGGAAAAGAAACCAACAGGGAUUGCCCUAGUAACGGCGAGUGAAGCGGCAACAGCUCAAAUUUGAAAUCUGGCGCAAGCCCGAGUUGUAAUUUGUAGAGGAUGUUUCUGGCGACGCGCCUUCCGAGUUCCCUGGAACGGGACGCCAUAGAGGGUGAGAGCCCCGUACGGUUGGAUGCCUAGCCUCUGUGAAACUCCUUCGACGAGUCGAGUAGUUUGGGAAUGCUGCUCUAAAUGGGAGGUAUACGUCUUCUAAAGCUAAAUACCGACCAGAGACCGAUAGCGCACAAGUAGAGUGAUCGAAAGAUGAAAAGCACUUUGAAAAGAGGGUUAAAAAGUACGUGAAAUUGUUGAAAGGGAAGCGUUCAUGACCAGACUUGGGCAGGUUGAUCAUCCGUGGUUCUCCGCGGUGCACUCUGCCUGCCCAGGCCAGCAUCAGUUCGCUCCGGGGGAUAAAGGCUCUGGGAAUGUGGCUCCUUCGGGAGUGUUAUAGCCCACUGCGUAAUCCCCUGGGGUGGACUGAGGUUCGCGCUCUGCAAGGAUGCUGGCGUAAUGGUCAUCAACGACCCGUCUUGAAACACGGACCAAGGAGUCGUCUUCGUAUGCGAGUGUUCGGGUGUCAAACCCCUACGCGUAAUGAAAGUGAACGUAGGAGAGAGCUUCGGCGCAUCUCCGACCGAUCCUGAUGUUCUCGGAUGGAUUUGAGUAAGAGCAUACGGGGCCGGACCCGAAAGAAGGUGAACUAUGCCUGUAUAGGGUGAAGCCAGAGGAAACUCUGGUGGAGGCUCGCAGCGGUUCUGACGUGCAAAUCGAUCGUCAAAUAUGGGCAUGGGGGGCGAAAGACUAAUCGAACCUUCUAGUAGCUGGUUUCCGCGAGUA
rnacentral:rRNA from 1 species